rnacentral:tRNA from 4 species
GGAUUAGCACAGUGGUAGUGCAGCGGUUUUGUAAACCGAAGGCCGGGAGUUCGAAUCUCUCAUCCGG